rnacentral:lncRNA from 1 species
AAGAAACAUAAGUAAACAAAUCAACAAGGUAGAGUAACAACUAAUUUCAAGUCAUUAGGCUUACCUCAUAUAUUUGAUCCUAAAACCUCCACUACCAUAAUCCAUAAUUGAUUCAAAAUCCAAAGCUAAAAAAGAAUGAAGUGAUGAAAAUACUCUAGUGAAUAUAAUAACAUCCACUAUAAUUAAUUGAAAAUGAAAAAUGAUCAACAUAAAAUUAUAUUAAAAUCAUAUAAGAUUCAAUCGUUGAAAAUGAAAGACAAUUAACAUAAAAUUAGAUUAAAAUCAUAUAUAAUAAAGUCAAAAACCUUUC